CUUGACCGAGCCGAGCAGCACCGGACGGUCCUGUUGCCGGCCCUGUCCAUAGGUUGCCAGCAGCGCCUCGGCCUC
rnacentral:antisense_RNA from 1 species